AUAAAUUUCUAGUGGGGUGACACCCACUCUCCCACAGCAAGAUUCCUUCUUGAGAGUGGACAGUGAGCAUCUACAGGUGAAGGUGCUAAGGAAGCAAAUGGUAUCCUAGCUGAGCCUUCAUCAUGGAAGCCUGUACAUAUAGCUGGCCUGGGCAUGAAUGAUUAAGAGGAAACAGGAAAUUGAAUGGCAGCAAAGGAGAAAUGAAAGAAAAAGGACUGAGAACAAAUGGGACAUUGUCAGCAGAAAGGAGAACAUCAGAAGCGGAACCGCAACAGAUGAGGGAACCCUAAAGAUGAAGGAGUACUAGAACUUCUAAUAAUAAUUCACAUUUAUUAGUGUUUAUUAUGUGCUGGGCACUGGAUACACAUUUUAUAUGAGUUUCUUCAUCUCAUUUAAUCCUUACCACAAACACUGUGAUAGACACUAUUGUGAUGCCUAUUUUACAAAAGAUAAAAAUGCUCUUUAAAUGAAAAAACAAAAUCCAAGUCCCCCACAACAUUUCAAAGAAGUCAAGAGGGGAGAGGAUAAAACAAAACAGAAAAAAAAAAUGGGACAAAUGGCACAAAAUCAGAUAGUAGAAAUAAGUAUAAAUAUAUUAGAACUAAACUCUAAAGUUAAAAGACAAUGACUGCCCAUUGGAUAGAAAAAACAAAUUUGCACUACAUGUUGUUUCCAAGAGCACAUCUAAAACAGAAUGGUAGAGACAAGAAAGUAAAGAUGUGGAAAAACAUACCAGACACAUAAGAAUGACAAGAAAGCUUAUUAAGUUAUAACAUUUGUUAAAAUAAACUAUCUUGCUUGUAAAA